UUGUUGGUCCUCCUUGAAAUAUUGACACUUCCCUUAAGAGUACAUUCUUUCAGAGGGAAAGCAUCCUAGAUGCAACCAUUUAACCUGUUAGCAUCCUUGACUGUGUGAGACCUUCACAAACAGAACAGGAGCUGUUUGCCUCCCUGGCAGGAUGCUGAUGUUCACUCUUCAGUGCUAGUACACAAUAAACAAUGAAGGGAGAAUCCACAUGCAUUGCUGUGCAGAAAUCAGUUCAGUGACAUGGCUCUUCCUCUCCCUUCUUCUGUGAAGGUGAGAGUUUGAGGCACAAGGUUCUUCUCCAGGAGCAUCUUCACUAAAGCUCCAAUUCUUCUUUCCUCAUCUGUUCAGCCCUUCUGCGUGCUCUGUGAAAUGGUCAGUGACAUGGAGGGUGUUCAGAAGCCUGAUAAUGUUGAUGCUUUUGCCUUCAUGAACCUCAUGGGGAAGAGGCAAGUGGAUAUUUGCCCUGCAAUGGCAGAAAGGGGGCUCUGGCAAGGUCUAUUCCAUACAGAGAUCUUUGGAGACAGCACUGGGAGCCAGACCAGGGAUAGAAUCUAAGGGCACAAUUUUUCUUGCAAUGGAAAGUGGAUCCUAAAAGGAGCAGCAGAAGUGAAGAGGCAGAAAUUAUGCGACCACCUUCAGUGUGGAGAUCCAGUCCCCCCAGAGUGAUGGUGUCUGCAACAGAGGGUGAUUUUCUCUCAGAAAUUCUUGAGAGAUUUUGCAGCAGUUUCAGUGAGAGUUAUCUGCCAGAUUGUAAGGUUUAUUUUACACUAUAGAGUUCAUCUGAGAAAUGAAAAAUAACACAGAUUUGCUUUCAGUUCAUUUUUCCCAUUUCAUCCUCUUCUCAGCCAAGCAUGAACCUCAACCUCUCUUUGUUUCUCACAAAAGGGUUGGAGCUGGUUUCCAGCAAUUAUUCUGAAGCAAAGCAGAUCAGCAUAGCAAAGUUAAAGCAAUAAAAAUAACAGUACAGACAGGAAAAAUAUUGCAUGAUGGAUUUUGAUCUCCUGUGCUUCAGCAUUAAUCACAGUAUUGAUUUUAACAGGAAUGACUUCUCAGCAUACUGACUGUAGUUGCUUUUUGUUCUUUUUAUUUUACUGCAGCUGAUUAGUAUCUGUCCUUCUGUGUCCAGUGUGGAACCAUCCUCUGGAGAGAGUGCUUUCAGAAAUACUUUUAUUUUUUUCUCAGUAAAAUAAUUACUUGAAGAGAUAAGAUGACUCAGCUGGAGUUAUUAGGGCUGGUGUUCUGUUUGGAUUAUUUGAUUAUUACAGUAAAUUAAAAAAAAAAAAAAAAAAACUGAUUUUGUUAAGAGGCCUGUUGCACUGCGUGCCCAUAAACUGUAGUUGUGUUUUGUUCAAACCAUUUUGAAAAAAACAUUUGCAGCAAAAUAUUGGGUUGUGGUACAUGUACUCCAGAACAGUGAGAAAACUGCAUGAGAAAAACAAUGUACUAACAGGUCUGAAGGUAGAACUAAGACCUGGAGUUGAUGAACUGAAUAAGUAAUUCUGUGUAAUUAGCACAUGCCACUGUAAGAUUAAUUGAGUUAUUCUAUUUUACUGGACGUUUAAUUUAUAUUUCUAUGGAGUAAAUUAAAUCUUCUACUAUCAACA